CUUAGAGUUUGAUCCUGGCUCAGGAUGAACGCUAGCUACAGGCUUAACACAUGCAAGUCGAGGGGAAACGACAUUGGAAGCUUGCUUCCGAUGGGCGUCGACCGGCGCACGGGUGAGUAACGCGUAUCCAACCUGCCCACCACUUGGGAAUAACCUUGCGAAAGUAAGACUAAUGCCCAAUGACGUUGAAAGAAGACAUCUGAUUUCAACUAAAGAUUCAUCGGUGAUGGAUGGGGAUGCGUCUGAUUAGCUUGUUGGCGGGGUAACGGCCCACCAAGGCGACGAUCAGUAGGGGUUCUGAGAGGAAGGUCCCCCACAUUGGAACUGAGACACGGUCCAAACUCCUACGGGAGGCAGCAGUGAGGAAUAUUGGUCAAUGGGCGAGAGCCUGAACCAGCCAAGUAGCGUGCAGGAUGACGGCCCUAUGGGUUGUAAACUGCUUUUAUAAGGGAAUAAAGUGAGCCUCGUGAGACUUUUUGCAUGUACCUUAUGAAUAAGGACCGGCUAAUUCCGUGCCAGCAGCCGCGGUAAUACGGAAGGUCCGGGCGUUAUCCGGAUUUAUUGGGUUUAAAGGGAGCGUAGGCCGGAGAUUAAGCGUGUUGUGAAAUGUAGACGCUCAACGUCUGCACUGCAGCGCGAACUGGUUUCCUUGAGUACGCACAAAGUGGGCGGAAUUCGUGGUGUAGCGGUGAAAUGCUUAGAUAUCACGAAGAACUCCGAUUGCGAAGGCAGCUCACUGGAGCGCAACUGACGCUGAAGCUCGAAAGUGCGGGUAUCGAACAGGAUUAGAUACCCUGGUAGUCCGCACGGUAAACGAUGGAUACCCGCUGUUGGUCUGAAUAGGUCAGCGGCCAAGCGAAAGCAUUAAGCAUCCCACCUGGGGAGUACGCCGGCAACGGUGAAACUCA
rnacentral:rRNA from 1 species